AUGUCAUUAUUUUACAUUUCUCCUCAGUGAACCAAUCACAGAGGAGGGUGAUGGAGAGACUGAGCAUCUGCCUGGUGAAGAUGAGUUGGAAGCAGUGGCCAUGUUUGACUACACGGCCAGAUCUCCAGCAGAACUCUCCUUGAAACAGGGCGACCUUCUAAUCCUUCACAGCAAAGCCUCCUGUGAUUGGUGGAGAGGAGAAGUGGGAGGAGUUAAGGGUCUCAUCCCUCACAAGUACAUCAGUGUCCUGGAUG